GGAAGAAAACACUGGGAGAACUUUUCAUGACCUUGGAUUUGGCAAUGGAUUUUUAGAUUUGACUCUAAAUAUGUAAUCAACAAAUGUGAAAAUAGAUGUUAGACAUUUCUCCAAAGAAAAAAAUAUGAAAAGAGGCUCAAUAUCAUUAGCUAUCAGGGAAUUACAAAAUUAACUCAUAAUGAGACACACCACUUCACAUCUAGUAGGAAGGUUGUAAAAAAGAUGGGCAAUAAGUGUUGAUUAGGAUAUGGGGAAAUUGAAACCCUUAUACUUCAAUAUUGAAGUGUAAUUCCCAUAUCUUUACAUUUAUCAAUUUAUAAACUAUAUAAUUCAAUGGUUUUAAGUAGGUUCUCUGAGUUUUUUGUAACCGUCACCACAAUCAAUUUUACCCAAGAAAGAAACUCUAUAACCAUCAGCUGUCAUUCCCAAUUUCUCCCCCAGUAAACAACUAUCUGCCUCCUUCACCCUGCCCCCAAACCCCAGAUCCAGGAAAUCACUUAUUUAUUUAUUUAUCUCUAUAUGUCCCAUUCUGGCCUUCUUCCUUCUUAUCAAAUUGUUAUUAUAUAUCCUUUGGCUAACAUCUUCCAAUUCUCUUUGCCCUAACCACCAAGCCUUUAAUAACUGCCAUUCUACUUUGCCUUUUUAUGAGUUAGGGUUCCAUGUAUGAAUGAGAUCAUGUGGUAUUUGUCUUUCUGUUUCUAGCUUAUUUCACUUGAUAUAAUGUCCUCCAGUUUCAUCCAUGUUGUAAAUGCCAGGAUUUUGUUCUUUUUAAUGUUGAAUAAUAUUCCAUUACACACACACACACACACACACACAAUUUUGUUUAUGCAGUUAUCCAUUGAUGGACUGCUAGGUUGAUCCCAUGUCUUGGCUAUAGUGAAUAGUGCUGCAAUAAAUGUGGGAGUGUGGAUAUUCCUUCCAACACAUUGAUUUUAUUUUAUUUGGAUAUAUACCCAGUGGUGGGAUUGAAACUCUAUUUUUAGUAUUUUGAGCAACUGCCAUGAUGUUUUCUCUCUCUAAUGACUUCAAAUUUAUAUUUCUGCCAACAGUGUAUAAGUGUAUAAGGAUGU
rnacentral:lncRNA from 1 species